rnacentral:rRNA from 1 species
UACGUAGGGUGCGAGCGUUAAUCGGAAUUACUGGGCGUAAAGCGUGCGCAGGCGGUUUUGUAACGCAGAUGUGAAAUCCCCGGGCUUAACCUGGGAAUGGCAUUUGGGACUGCAAGGCUUGAGUGCGGCAGAGGAGACUGGAAUUCCUGGUGUAGCAGUGAAAUGCGUAGAUAUCAGGAGGAACACCGAUGGCGAAGGCAGGUCUCUGGGCUGACACUGACGCUCAUGCACGAAAGCGUGGGGAGCAACAGG